rnacentral:snoRNA from 1 species
GAACUGUGCGAUGAUGAUAACAAGCUCCCUCUUCUGAGAUUCUUUUUGCAGACAACUGCUGGCAGAAUCGAACCAUAACAACUCGCCACAACUGAGCUU